rnacentral:rRNA from 1 species
UAUCCUGUCUGAAUAUGGGGGGACCAUCCUCCAAGGCUAAAUACUCCUGACUGACCGAUAGUGAACCAGUACCGUGAGGGAAAGGCGAAAAGAACCCCGGCGAGGGGAGUGAAAAAGAACCUGAAACCGUGUACGUACAAGCAGUGGGAGCACCCUUUGGGGUGUGACUGCGUACCUUUUGUAUAAUGGGUCAGCGACUUAUAUUCUGUAGCAAGGUUAACCGAAUAGGGGAGCCGGAGGGAAACCGAGUCUUAAUUGGGCGUUAAGUUGCAGGGUAUAGACCCGAAACCCGGUGAUCUAGCCAUGGGCAGGUUGAAGGUUGGGUAACACUAACUGGAGGACCGAACCGACUAAUGUUGAAAAAUUAGCGGAUGACCUGUGGCUGGGGGUGAAAGGCCAAUCAAACCGGGAGAUAGCUGGUUCUCCCCGAAAGCUAUUUAGGUAGCGCCUCGUGAAUUUAUCUCCGGGGGUAGAGCACUGUUUCGGCUAGGGGGCCAUCCCGGCUUACCAACCCGAUGCAAACUGCGAAUACCGGAGAAUGUUAUCACGGGAGACACACGGCGGGUGCUAACGUCCGUCGUGAAGAGGGAAACAACCCAGACCGCCAGCUAAGGUCCCAAAGUCAUGGUUAAGUGGGAAACGAUGUGGGAAGGCCCAGACAGCCAGGAUGUUGGCUUAGAAGCAGCCAUCAUUUAAAGAAAGCGUAAUAGCUCACUGGUCGAGUCGGCCUGCGCGGAAGAUGUAACGGGGCUAAACCAUGCACCGAAGCUGCGGCAGCGACGCUGAUGCGUUGUUGGGUAGGGGAGCGUUCUGUAAGCCUGCGAAGGUGGCCUGUGAGGGUUGCUGGAGGUAUCAGAAGUGCGAAUGCUGACAUAAGUAACGAUAAAGCGGGUGAAAAGCCCGCUCGCCGGAAGACCAAGGGUUCCUGUCCAACGUUAAUCGGGGCAGGGUGAGUCGACCCCUAAGGCGAGGCCGAAAGGCGUAGUCGAUGGGAAACGGGUUAAUAUUCCCGUACUUGGUGUUACUGCGAAGGGGGGACGGAGAAGGCUAUGUUGGCCGGGCGACGGUU